CCUACGGGAGGCUGCAGUGAGGAAUAUUGGUCAAUGGGCGCAAGCCUGAACCAGCCAAGUCGCGUGAGGGAUGACGGUCCUAUGGAUUGUAAACCUCUUUUGUCGGGGAGCAAAGCGCGGUACGAGUACCGUGAAGGAGAGUACCCGAAGAAAAAGCAUCGGCUAACUCCGUGCCAGCAGCCGCGGUAAUACGGAGGAUGCGAGCGUUAUCCGGAUUUAUUGGGUUUAAAGGGUGCGUAGGCGGAUUAGUAAGUCAGCGGUAAAAAUGCGGUGCUCAACGCCGUAUCGCCGUUGAAACUGCGGGUCUUGAGUGAGCGAGAAGUAUGCGGAAUGCGUGGUGUAGCGGUGAAAUGCGUAGAUAUACGGAGGAACACCAGUGGCGAAGGCGGAUUGCUGGACAGUAACUGACGCUGAGGCGCGAAAGCGUGGGGAGCAAACAGGAUUAGAUACCCGUGUAGUC
rnacentral:rRNA from 1 species